AAGUCAUGCAUCACCACGUAGGCACACGCAUGUACAAGAAUAAAUUGUCCUUUAAAACACGUAACUUUUAGUACAACUAUUGUCACGUCCAAACAGACUGGACACUGGACACGUGUUUAAGACAAGGAAAUACAAGAUUAUAUGCGUCUUUCCAUCCAAGAGUUAGAGGCAAGCAUGACUCCAACAUGUAAAUACAUUAGGAAACAAAAUCUCACUUCACGUGGACACAAUUCUAAACUACUGACAGGUGCAUGCAUGCAAAUAAGAUUUACAGAGUAGGAUACAACAUAAAUAAUUCCACAACCAUGGAAAACCAAACACAUCUAGUCGGCCAAACCAGGCACACACCCAAGAAAGUAGAAGCCAGCCUGAACUACGGGAUCAAAACACAAUCACAAAAAUCAAAGUCAGCCAAUACUAUGCCAGACAAAGAUUGAAGCCAGGAAAAACCAAAGUUUCAUGUGCAACUUGGUGCCGAUGCCAGAUGAUUUCAUGCCCAACCUUUUGAGUUGCUUCUCACCUGAAUCAUCAAGUCAGGUAACUAUUUUUUAGUGAACUAACUUAUUCUGAAUUAAAUCAUCAAUUGUACUUUCUUAAACAGCAACUAUGUUUCUUUUGCUUUUGAAGCUAAUACACAAUUCUACAACUUUUGAGCUUAUGAGGUUUGACAUGAUCUUGGUUGAUGAACAUGUUUAUUCUUUACAUAUUUAACUGAGAAUUAUUCUAUCUAGUUAUAUUUUGAUUGUUCUAAUAGGGCAUACAAUGCAUGCUACAGUCUCGAAGAAUCUCUAGGCAUUUUUUAGUCAGAGAUCUACAUAUGGAACUUAGCAAUUUUAACCCAUAAAAUAUAGCCUGGUGAGCAAUGCAAUUGAAUAUUUUUCACAUGUAAGAUUUCAAAUAAGGUGAAAGAAACAUCAGAACUUUAUCUAGAUUACUAUUUUGAAUUUCUAUCCAAGGACACACUACGAGACGGGGAAAGAUAAUUCCUACAAGAAGGGAGAAAGAUAAACAAUGCCCAGGUAUUGAAUCCAACUUACAACUAAUUAUUCUUUCUGACGGUUACUACAAUUAAUCUCCAAAUGUACAUUCCAGAUUACUUAUAUAUAUAGCUAUCAUUAUUGUGACCUUCCUAAUGGUUUUCAAUGGUAAGUCCAGUAAUAUACAUGCUCUUCCGCUUUUCACGAAAAAAACUAAUGUUAGAGAGAUUCAUUGUUGACUUAACAGUUUUUUAUCUAAAGUCAACCGAUGCCACAAGAAUGUUUAGACAUACCCGAGAAUCAGGAACUUCUUAACAGGUAUGAGACACUAUCUUUUUGUUAUUUGUCGACGAAUUGUGACUCAUGUAAACUCACUAAUGUAAAUAAUAGUUAUUCUUAACUUCAAACCAUAAAUGUAGGAACUCAGCAGAAUAAAUUGUACCUAAAAUGAUCGAAAUAGAUAAAAGUACGCAAGGAUGCUAGAAAAAAAUGUUUUACUGGAGUAGAGCAUUACAAGAACUUACUACGACAAAUCAAGAAAACCUACUAAAUCAGGUAAUCCAUCCGAGUUCUUUUGAGAUAUGAUAUCAUCACUCUUCGAAGAAAACCUGACCCUUGAGACCUGCAAUGACAUUUGAAUAUUUGAUUCAUAUCAAUUAUAAUGAAGCCACAUUUGACUUAUUUAUGUCACUUAGUUUUAUCACGAUGCUAGCAUUGAGUUUUAGUUUUAUCACAAUGCUAACAUUGAGUUUCUGGGUAGAUUUUCUGAUUUUGUGUUCAUAGCUACAUGCCUACAAUAGAUCGCCUGCAAGAAAAUAUUCAAUUAUUGUACAUGCCAUGUGAUGAUUAUCACAAAACAAUGGAAUUACGGAUAGAAACUAGAUAAUAGUAAAUCAAGAUGGGCGUCAAGAAGAAAUUAUCAACGUCACGUGAGCUCCGUGUGAUAAAGAAGGAUACCAAGAUCUAUUUUAAUAUCUGAUGGGUCAGGGGAUAAAUGAACAAGGACAAAUGUGCAACAAGGAAAGGAAAACGAUGUACGAGAGAACAAAAACCAGUUCAACCAAAAAUAACUACUAGGGGUCGAAGAUGAAGAUUCAGAUGUCCAUUAUGGCCAAAGAAAACCUACUGUUAAUGCAGCCAUUAGACAACACACUUAUCCACAAAUAAGUUGAUUAGUAGCUUAUCCUGUGAAAGUCGGACUAUAUGUAUUUCCCCAAAUAAAGAGCCUAAGAAUACUAGACAUUGGACAAGAUAAGGAUGAUACUUAUUGGAUAAUAAGGGUCCGAAUGUUAGCACUAUUCAAUGCAUGUUAAAUUGCAAUUAUUUGGAAAAAAACUUCGUCAAUAUAUGUUUCUGGCAAUAGCACUUCUAUAUCAUACAACAUUUUCAGUUCAUGAGAAGCAUAAGAAAACCUCCAAUGUUAUUAGCUUGGCCUGCAAAUGAUCAACCAUUGUUUGUUUAACAACAUAUAUAUGAACUAAGCUUCUUAUACUACAUGCAAGUCUUCUCGCUUUGUCUAUUACUAAUACAUACAAGUAAUAUUUUCUCAGAUAUGACAACAACAAACAACAACAAAAAAAACAACAACAAAGCCUUUAGUCCCAAACAAGUUGGGGUAGGCUAGAGGUGAAACCCAUAAGAUCUCGCAACCAACUCAUGGCUCUGGCACAUGGAUAGCAAGCUUCCACGCACCCCUGUCCAUAGCUAGCUCUUUGUCGAUACUCCAAUCUUUCAGGUCUCUCUUAGCGGACUCCUCCCAUGUCAAAUUCGGUAGACCCCGCCCUCUCUUGACAUUCUCCGCACGCUUUAGCCGUCCGCUAUGCACUGGAGCUUCUGGAGGCCUUCGCUGAAUAUGCCCAAACCAUCUCAGACGAUGUUGGACAAGCUUCUCCUCAAUUGGUGCUACCCCAACUCUAUCUCGUAUAUCAUCAUUCCGGACUCGAUCCUUCCUCGUGUGGCCACACAUCCAUCUCAACAUACGCAUCUCCGCUACACCUAAUUGUUGAACAUGUCGCCUUUUAGUCGGCCAACACUCCGCGCCAUACAACAUUGCGGGUCGAACCGCCGUCCUGUAGAACUUGCCUUUUAGCUUUUGUGGCACUCUCUUGUCACAUAGAAUGCCAGAAGCUUGGCGCCACUUCAUCCAUCCGGCUUUGAUUCGAUGGUUCACAUCUUCAUCAAUACCCCCAUCCUCCUGCAACAUUGACCCCAAAUACCGAAAGGUGUCCUUCCGAGGUACCACCUGGCCAUCAAGGCUAACCUCCUCCUCCUCACACCUAGUAGUACUGAAACCGCACAUCAUGUACUCAGUUUUAGUUCUACUAAGCCUAAACCCUUUCAAUUCCAAGGUUUGUCUCCAUAACUCUAACUUCCCAUUUACCCCCGUCCGACUAUCGUCAACUAGCACCACAUCAUCCGCAAAGAGCAUACACCAUGGGAUAUCUCCUUGUAUAUCCCUUGUGACCUCAUCCAUCACCAAUGCAAAAAGAUAAGGGCUCAAAGCUGACCCCUGAUGCAGUCCUAUCUUAAUCGGGAAGUCAUCGGUGUCGACAUCACUUGUUCGAACACUUGUCACAACAUUAUCGUACAUGUCCUUGAUGAGGGUAAUGUAUUUUGCUGGAACUUUGUGUUUCUCCAAGGCCCACCACAUGACAUUCCGCGGUAUCUUAUCAUAGGCCUUCUCCAAGUCAAUGAACACCAUAUGCAAGUCCUUCUUUUGCUUCCUAUAUCUCUCCAUAAGUUGUCGUACCAAGAAAAUGGCUUCCAUGGUCGACCUUCCAGGCAUGAAACCAAACUGAUUUUUGGUCACGCUUGUCAUUCUUCUUAAGUGGUGCUCAAUGACUCUCUCCCAUAGCUUCAUUGUAUGGCUCAUCAGCUUAACUCCAUGGUAAUUAGUACAACUCUGAACAUCCCCCUUGUUCUUGAAGAUUGGUACUAAUAUACUCCGUCUCCAUUCUUCUGGCAUCUUGUUUGCCCAAAAAAUGAGGUUGAAAAGCUUGGUUAGCCAUACUAUCGCUAUGUCCCCGAGACCUUUCCACACCUCAAUGGGGAUAUAAUCAGGGCCCAUCGCCUUGCCUCCUUUCAUCCUUUUUAAAGCCUCCUUCACCUCAGACUCCUGGAUGCGCCGCACAAAACACAUGCUAGUCUCAUCAAAGGAGUCGUCCAGUUCAAUGGUAGAACUCUCAUUCUCCCCAUUGAACAGCUUGUCGAAGUACUCCAUCUAUGCUUAAUCUCCUCGUCCUUCACCAAGAGUUGGCCUGCUCCGUCCUUGAUGCAUUUGACUUGGCCAAUAUCCCUCGUCUUCCUCUCCCGGAUCUUAGCCAUCUUAUAGAUGUCCCUUUCACCUUCCUUCGUGCCUAACCGUUGGUAGAGGUCCUCAUAUGCCCGACCCCUUGCUUCACCAACAGCUCGCUUUGCGGCCUUCUUCGCCAUCUUGUACUUCUCUAUGUUGUCUGCACUCCUAUCCAGGUAUAGGCGUCUGAAGCAAUCUUUCUUCUCUUUAAUCGCCUUCUGGACAUCAUCAUUCCACCACCAGGUAUCCUUAUCUUCGCUUCAACUUCCCCUGGACACUCCAAACUCCUCCAAGGCCACCUUACGAAUGCAAGUCGCCAUCUUCAUCCACACAUUGUCCGCAUCCCCUCCUUCCUCCCAAGGGCCCUCCUUAAUUACCCUCUCCUUGAACACCUGGUCUACCUCCCCCUUGAGCUUCCACCACUUCGUUCUAGCGACUUUGGCACGCUUAUCCCGCUGGACACGAAUCCAAAAGCGGAAGUCAGCAACCACCAGCUUAUGCUGGGGUACAACACUCCCUCCAGGUAUCACCUUACAGUCUAGGCACGCACGCCUAUCUUCUCUUCUUGAGAGGAUGAAAUCAAUCUGACUAGAGUGUUGGCCACUAGUAAAAGUCACCAGAUGUGAUUCUCUCUUUCUAAAGAGGGUGUUAGCUACAAUCAUGUUGUAGGCUAGAGCAAAGCUUAAGACAUCUUCUCCUUCUUGAUUCCUGAUGCCAUAGCCAAAGCCCCCAUGCGCCCCUUCAAAACCUGUGUUAGAUGUACCCACGUGGCCAUUGAGGUCUCCUCCUAUGAAGAGCUUCUCACCAAUCGGUACACUCCUAACCAUGUCUUCCAAGCCUUCCCAGAACUCCCUCUUGGUGUUCUCAUUGUGGCCUACUUGCGGGGCAUACGCGCUGAUAACAUUGAGAACCAAGUCCUCAACUACCAGCUUGACCAGGAUAAUCCGGUCCCCACGUCUCUUGACGUCUACCACUCCAUACUUGAGGCUCUUGUUGAUCAAGAUGCCUACGCCAUUUCUGUUUGCAGCCGUCCCCGUGUACCACAGCUUGAAGCCGGUAUCCUCCACCUCCUUCGCCUUCUGUCCUCUCCAUUUGGUUUCUUGGACGCAAAGGAUAUCAACACCUCUCCUCACCGCUGCAUCAACUAGCUCCCGAAGCUUCCCUGUCAGAGACCCUACGUUCCAGCUACCUAAGCGAAUCCUCCUAGGCUCGGCUAGCUUCCUUACCCUUCGCACUCGUCGAGUCAAAUGCGAAGACCCUUGCUCAUUUUCCACUACAUCCGGGCACCGAUGUAGUGUGCCACUAAGGAUGCGACGACCCGAUCCUCGCUCACUUGCCACCGUAUCCGGAUCAAGAUACGGCGCGCCACUUGAGGGGUGACGGCCCGGCCCUUGCCCAUUUUCCACCACACCCGGGUUCCGAUGUGGCGCGUCGCUGAGAGGGUUACGCCCCAACGAAAAUCUUCAGAUAUGACAACAACAAAUCAAAAUAAUAUACUUUUUAGUCCAAAUUGGGAAAAUACACCUGUGAAGAGUCAGUUUCUAUGAAGGAACAAAAAAUAUAGUCCGGCAACUUGCUUCUACCAGCGGACACACUUCUCAUCUUACUAAGUAUUUCUCUCCCAAUCUCCUUUUUUUGCGGGGGCUCCCAACCUACUUCUACACAUCUACCUCUGCCAACCAAUACCUGACCAUAGCUGGAAGGAAAACCUCUAUAUUGUGCCGCAGAUCCAGCACGUGUACAUCAACCUCCCCUUCGGGCUUCGGCAACCAAAUUUUGGGCUGAACGCUGCCCUCCCAUUGAUGGCCCUCCUCCAUCGAGCUGAGACCCAGCCACACAAGUUUGCCUCUGCUGCGUGCCCCAUUCUAGGUUGCCACGAUUAGGGCUCGCGUUUAGUACCUGAGGACGAGAAAUUAUAAAAAUAGUAGCGAGAAGUGACAUCAGAGAAGGUCAGGAAUUAGAUUCCUGGAGUACAUUAACUAGAUCUUACUUCACUGGCUGCUAAUCAGAACCGGUGGCGCAUGUGGG
rnacentral:lncRNA from 1 species